CACACACUGCGUUCGGCUGAAGCGUCCCCACACCCCUUCGAGGCCCCGACUCAGACACCGAGACGUCAUCUGGGGGCCAUAUGCCUGGCGUCUCAGAGAUUUCACUGUCCAUUGACAAUAUAAACAUUAUAAUAAGAGAAAAGCUGAAUUCGUUUAUGCAUUCAGUACUUAUUAGAGGGUUUCCUUGUGAUUUCCUGAUUUGCUUUUAAAUAGAAAAGUAAGAGAGAAUGACAAAGCAACAGAAUAUACAUUCUCCAAUCAACUUCCAGCCUGAUGCCAGUGUUGGGCCUCUCCCUCACAGAAGAUUCUAGACAUGUGGAAAGGCACAUCUCAGGAGAGGACUCAGUGGGAGAACACAGUUGAUUAAACAGAGGAAUAAUGGGAGCAAAAGAGGUUCCCUGGCUCGGAGAACCCACUGCUUUGGAAGAUCAGCCAGACUUGCAAUGUAAUUCCAGAUGUUGGCAUCUGGAGAGACCCUGACUUGACAAUUUGGCAGGGAAUAUGGAGAAAUCACAACUGGUCCAAAAAAAAAGUUCUAGAAAAUUCUGCAGCAGUGACCAGUGAAGCAGUCAUGGAAUGUCAGAAAAACCAGAGUUUAUCACCCGUGAAGCUUGGGUGAUGUAGAGUGCAGCCUGGCCCUAGGAAGUUUCCGGAAGGGUAUCUGAGGGUGAGGAAAGAAAAGAUUCUUUGGUGAAUUCCACAAGGCAGCCAGUGGUGGGGGAAACAGGCCAGAGAGUCAGGCUGGUCCCUGUGAUGUGGCUGCAGGGCUAAGAGGAAAUGACUCUUCCAACCUGCCAUUACAGCAGCUGCGGUCAGGCCCAUCCUGACAGCUCGGCGCUGGCAGAAAACACCGGAGAUUCUGCCUUUGGUCAUUAUUGCACCCACGCCAUCAUUCAGAACUUCUCAUCUCAAGGGUUCAGACUGCUUUACCCCUGGACUCAUGCUCAUGUUAUUGGCUCAGCCCACAACACCCACUUCCCUAGUCCAGUAAAGUUUCUUUUCUUUUUAAAGAUUUAUUUAUUUGUUUGAAAGGCAGAGUUACAGGGAGGCAGAGGCAGAGAGACAGACAGAGAGAGCUAGAGAGAGAGGGAGGGUGGAGGGAGGGAGAGGACCAGGUCUUCUAUUUGCUGGUUCACUCCCCAAAUGGCUGCAAUAGCUGGAGCUGUGCCGAUAUGAAGCCAGGAGCCAGGAGCUUCUUCCAGGUCUCCCACACAGGUGCAGGGGCCCAAGCACUUGGGCCAUCUUCUACUGCUCUCCCAAGCCAUAGCAGAGAGCUGGAUGGGAAGUGGAGCUGCUGGGACUCGAACCAGUACUCAUAUGGCGUGCUAGUACUGCAGGCAGUGGCUUUACCUGCUAAGCCACAGUACUAACCUCCUCUGACUUUCAAAUAAAGAAAUAAGUCUUUUUUUUUUUUUUUGGACA
rnacentral:lncRNA from 1 species